rnacentral:rRNA from 1 species
UGGGGAAUUUUGGACAAUGGGCGAAAGCCUGAUCCAGCAAUGCCGCGUGUGUGAAGAAGGCCUUCGGGUUGUAAAGCACUUUUGUCCGGAAAGAAAUCCUUGGCUCUAAUACAGUCGGGGGAUGACGGUACCGGGAAGAAUAAGCACCGGCUAACUACGUGCCAGCAGCCGCGGUAAUACGUAGGGUGCAAGCGUUAAUCGGAAUUACUGGGCGUAAAGCGUGCGCAGGCGGUUUGCUAAGACCGAUGUGAAAUCCCCGGGCUCAACCUGGGAACUGCAUUGGUGACUGGCAGGCUAGAGUAUGGCAGAGGGGGGUAGAAUUCCACGUGUAGCAGUGAAAUGCGUAGAGAUGUGGAGGAAUACCGAUGGCGAAGGCAGCCCCCUGGGCAAUACUGACGCUCAUGCACGAAAGCGUGGGGAGCAAACAGGAUUAGAUACCCUGGUAGUCCACGCCCUAAACGAUGUCAACUAGUUGUUGGGGAUUCAUUUCCUUAGUAACGUAGCUAACGCGUGAAGUUGACCGCCUGGGGAGUACGGUCGCAAGAUUAAAACUCAAAUGAAUUGACGGGGUCAUAGCUGUUCCU